AGAAGACGACAGCGUGGAAGUGUAACAAUUCUUUGCAUUUGGCAGGAGAGUGGGUGGAGGUUGUGCGGGGAGAAUGAAGACUGUGUACAGUUGAUAAGUAGUCAACGUUCGACUGAGAGAGAAGAGAUUGACAUAAUGUGCAACUUUAUAAUCAUCAUAUAAAAUACUCAUGCUAAACUGAAUGCUAAACAAAACAGCUGAAUCUGAACACAUUCAUUUGAAGGCCUGUCAUUUCCUCUUCUUCAUCCAAACCAAGCCUGACCUGCUACAGAGAACAAAGAAAACUCAAAUUGUUACUCCAUUAGCUGAAAUGUGCUCUGAAAGAACCUCCUCCCUGUACAUCCAUCACUGAUCAUUAUGGCAUCUUAGCGUAAUUGCCCUCCCCCUGUAGCGUGCGCACACUCGCUGGUCCUGAAUGCCAGCAGUAAUAUCUCUGCUUCAGAGACAGAGAGAGAGAGAGGGAGAGAGAGAGUGAUGUGCAUAACCAGCUCAUUUCCACCGCCAAUCAAAUUACCCGACCCAGCCGCAAUACA